rnacentral:rRNA from 1 species
AUACGUAGGGGGCGAGCGUUGUCCGGAAUGAUUGGGCGCAAAGGGCGCGUAGGCGGCCCGGUAAGUCUGGAGUGAAAGUCCUGUUUUUAAGAUGGGAAUUGCUUUGGAUACUGUCGGGCGUGAGUGCAGGAGAGGUAAGUGGAAUUCCCAGUGUAGCGGUGAAAUGCGUAGAGAUUGGGAGGAACACCAGUGGCGAAGGCGACUUACUGGACUGUAACUGACGCUGAGGCGCGAAAGUGUGGGGAGCAAACAGGAUUAGAUACCCUGGUAGUCCACACUGUAAACGAUGAAUGCUAGGUGUAGGGGGUAUCGACCCCUUCUGUGCCGCAGUCAACACAAUAAGCAUUCCGCCUGGGGAGUACGGCCGCAAGGUUGAAACUCAAAUGAAUUGACGGG